UGGGGAAUAUUGCACAAUGGGGGAAACCCUGAUGCAGCGGCGCCGCGUGAGUGAAGAAGUACUUCGGUAUGUAAAGCUCUAUCAGCAGGGAAGAAAAUGACGGUACCUGAGUAAGAAGCCCCGGCUAACUACGUGCCAGCAGCCGCGGUAAUACGUAGGGGGCAAGCGUUAUCCGGAUUUACUGGGUGUAAAGGGAGCGCAGACGGUUGCGCAAGUCUGAAGUGAAAUCCCGAGGCUUAACCACGGGACUGCUUUGGAAACUGUGCGACUUGAGUAUCGGAGGGGCAGGCGGAAUUCCUAGUGUAGCGGUGAAAUGCGUAGAUAUUAGGAAGAACACCGGUGGCGAAGGCGGCCUGCUGGACGAAAACUGACGUUGAGGCUCGAAGGCGUGGGGAGCAAACAGGAUUAGAUACCCUGGUAGUCCACGCGGUAAACGAUGAAUACUAGGUGUUGGUGCCCAAAGGGCAUCGGUGCCGUCGCAAACGCAAUAAGUAUUCCACCUGGGGAGUACGUUCGCAAGAAUG
rnacentral:rRNA from 1 species